ensembl:lncRNA
CUAUUUUUUUUUCUUUUUCAGAACCACAUAAAAAAGAAAAAAUAAUGGAAUCUGGUGAAUAUUCUCUCAUUUUUAUCUUGUUUUUAUACUAUCCUAAUAUUUUAAAUUCAUUCUUGUCAGAAGUCAAUAUUUGAUAAUUUUAAAAAUUUUUUUACAGGAAAAACAACAAAGAAAGAAGCAAAAGUACAUGCAUCUGUGGAAACUCCAAAGUCAAAAGCAGGACUUGAAAAAAAAGAAGGAAAAGCAACAAAGGCAGCAGUGCAAGGUAAAAAUAAAACAAAACACAUUGGCAUUAUCUCUCUUAAAGCACAAUGGCACAGAAACAAUAACCUC